AUUGAACGCUGGCGGCAUGCCUUACACAUGCAAGUCGAACGGCAGCGGACCUUCGGGUGCCGGCGAGUGGCGAACGGGUGAGUAAUAUAUCGGAACGUACCUUUCAGUGGGGGAUAACGUAGCGAAAGUUACGCUAAUACCGCAUAUUCUGUGAGCAGGAAAGCAGGGGAUCGCAAGACCUUGCGCUGAUUGAGCGGCCGAUAUCAGAUUAGCUAGUUGGUGAGGUAAAGGCUCACCAAGGCGACGAUCUGUAGCGGGUCUGAGAGGAUGAUCCGCCACACUGGAACUGAGACACGGUCCAGACUCCUACGGGAGGCAGCAGUGGGGAAUUUUGGACAAUGGGCGCAAGCCUGAUCCAGCCAUGCCGCGUGAGUGAAGAAGGCCUCGGUUGUAAGUACUCUUUGUUUGGUAGAAGUACCUAACGGAUAAUA
rnacentral:rRNA from 1 species